AACGGAUCCAAGGAGCUUGCUCCUGAAGAUUAGUGGCAAACGGGUGAGUAAUACAUAGGAAUCUACCUAACAGUAUGGAAUAACCUUGGGAAACCAAAGCUAAUACCAUAUAUUACCGAUCUAUCGGGAAAGAUUUAUCGCUGUUAGAUGAGCCUGUGCCGGAUUAGCUAGUUGGUAGGGUAAUGGCCUACCAAGGCAAUGAUCUGUAGCUGGUCUGAGAGGAUGAUCAGCCACAUUGGGACUGCGACACGGCCCAAACUCC
rnacentral:rRNA from 1 species